ensembl:lncRNA
GGAUGCUCUCUAGGUACCCGGAUGCUCUCUAGGUACCCGGAUGUUCUCGAGGCCCUGGAUGGUCUCAGCGCCCAGCGGCAGGCGUGGACCUGGGCCCCCGUAACUCACGGGUGCGGCCGUGAGCAGAGGAGGAGCCCGGGACUCCUCCGCGUGGAGACUCGAGGCUGAGGGCGCCGGAAGCCCGCGCAUCGGGGACCAGGAGGCCCCGACUGUCUCCAUCCUCCGUGCUGGGAGCGGCAAGCGGCCUGCUGUGUGGGGAGCCUGCUUCUCAUGCCAUCCGCAUGGAUGGGGAGCCCACUCGGGGCGGUUCUGUCCGCCGAGCCUCUGGACGCUGGCCCCGGGAAGGUGCGAGAGCGCCUCCUCACCGCCUCCGCUGCCUGGGCCAGACGGGUCGCGGGCGUCCAGCUGCUCUUGGAGACAGAAAUGGCAACCCACCCCAGUAUUCCUGCCUGGAGCAUCCUGUGGACAGAGGGACCUGGCCGGCUGCAGCCCAUGGGGUCACAGAAGAGCCAGACACAACUGAGCAACCGAGCAAGAGCAAAGUGGCCCUGGCACUGUUUAUUGAGUGGACUGUCCUUCUUCCAUUGAAUUGCUUUUCUCC